AGGGAUGUUAUGAUUUGGUGACCAGUUUUAUGGAGACCAAUAUGGGAAUCAUAGCUGGAGUGGCUUUUGGAAUUGCAUUCUCACAGCUGAUUGGCAUGCUGUUGGCGUGUUGUCUGUCCCGGUUUAUUACUGCCAAUCAGUAUGAGAUGGUGUAACAAGGAGUAUGGAAAUACAGUACCUGUUUUCAAUCAGGAACUAGAACUUUCUUGGAAGACUUCUAAAGAAUGUUAGAGCACACAUAACACAACUACAUAUAUACACACCUAAAGACAACACUUUCUCAACUUUGUACCAUGCAUAAUGUACCAUUCCAUGAAGUACUGCUGCGCCACAAAAAUUAGCCUGAACCAUUGAGUAUCCAGUACUGUACACUCCGUCUCAACAACUGUGCAUAUGAUGGCACUGUAUGUUUGUUCUUGAUCAGACAGUAGUUGCAUUGUCAAGUUAGCAGAGUUAAUUCCUUGACAGCAAUGAUUAGGUUGUGCAUGUAGUGACUGGAAGGCACCAUUAGUCUUUCAUCAUGGUUAAUAAAUGUUGCACACAUCCAUAUUAAGCCUAUACAGAAAAAUUUAUAUUAUUUUGAUUUAUCAAGUUUCUAAUUUCUAGAUUUUGUUUAUAGAUUUUACUAAAGUGUGUCAGUCUAUCUAAUCUCCCCUUUCCAACCACUGCCCAAAAUAAGAAAAAAAAAACCAAUCACAUAACUUGGGGAAUACUUGAAAAUAAAUGUGCAAAAUCUGGUUAAGGGAAAUUAAUGUAUUGAUAUUCAGCAGUGUUGUAUGCCUAGUGUUUUUGCCAAUAGACUUUGUCCAGUGCAUUUUGCCUCAGAAUCUGAACUUGUGUAAUACCAUUACUAAGGUGUGUUGUUUGCUUAUUGUGAACCCAGUAAUUUUGCUUUCUUUGAUUAGAUAAUUAUGAAUCAGAUUGUGCUGUAAUGCAACUUUUUUAUUAUGCCCUUCUUUCUGUUUUAUUCUCCUUUUGCAUUGAAGUUGCCACAAAAUUCAUUAUCAAAUCAAUCAAUAUAAUUAUAACAAAAAGAAUGUGUGGAAUAUUUUUCAGGAUGGGGAACAAAAGUUUAAGACCUUUUUAAAAAACUAUUUUUUUUAA